AGAAGACACUUGCAGCGGAAACGAAGAUGGAUGCCGAAUCAGCAUGAUCAGACAGAAAGCUUAUAUUUGCGGGUACUUAGCGAAAAUGACUGUCGGGUACAGUACUAUUACACGUGGUGACUGAAGUCUGGUCAGUCGGCAGGCAGGAGUACUCAAUUUACCGCAUUCCUACAAUCCAACUGAAAUUACGGGUAUUCAGAAUCGGCCUUCGAACAGUUGAUGAAGCCCGCCCUGGUAGAUGGAAUCUGCCGCUUGACCAGCAGCACUGUCCAGAGACAGUGGUUGAUGCUGGAUAUAUGACUUUUCCUCAGUCCAUCAUUACUUGCUGGAGUGCUGGUAGAGGCUGAACGCUUUAAUAAAUAUAACUGUGAUCUUGCUGAGAUGUAGUAAUCCAUGGGAAUUUUCCAAAGAAGAUUCAAGAGAACUUUCUGGACCUUAAAAGAUGUUGACACCCUGCUGAUGGAGCAGAUCCUAUUUCUUAGAAGCAGAAAGCAGUUCUCUUACCAUCAGAUCUGAUCCAUUUUUGGAGAUAGCCUUUUGUAUGGAGCUGGGUAACGGUUACUGGAGACAUGCUGUUGAUUGAUGAGGAUAAUUUUCCCGAGACUCUGGCAUAUUGCAGGACCUGGAUAGCUCUACUGGUGUUUAAAAUGCCAGGACUGUGGAGUGUUGUGAUGUCAUUGAUGGUCAACAGAAGACUGUGACCUUGAAUCUGAAGAUCUGUGAUGAAGACUGGACGUUUGGGGUCACUCUCUGUCACA